AAUGUAGCUAUCUUGAUACAUGUAGAUAUAGUUUAUUCUUUUCAACUGCCUUGUAAUAUUGCCCCACAGGAGUGCACCACCUUUUACAUAUCCAUCUCUUUAUUGAAGGACAUUGCAGUGGAAUCCAUCUUUUCACUGGUACAAAUACUGCUACAAUGGCCAUCCUUGCAUGUAUCCUUUGUGCCCAGGAAGAUGCCUCUGUGUGUCUCCUGGGAAUGGAAGGGAGGCACCAGGCUGGCAGGGAUGGAAGAUACUGAAGGAAAGGGGGUCCAGUUCAUCUGCAUGAUAAGAGCACUGAUCAAUCAAUCAAUCAAUCAAUCAGUCAACAAAUGAAUGCCUCUGGCUGAGAGGAGAAGAGGAAGAUGAAGAGGGGAGAGGAGACGAUUCCAGCUGAGUGAACCAGAUUCUUUUCUACCCAUUACUCUUACUCUACUUCCUAACCAGAAACUCUUCUAAUCUUUCUCUUCUCUCUUUCUCUCUCUCUCUCUUUAGAGACGAAGUGAGGAGGAGCAGAGAAAGAGGGAGAAAGAGAAUCCCAAGCAGACUCCGUGCCCAGCACGGAGCCCGACUCAGGGCUCAAGCUCACAACCCUGAGAUCAUGACCUGAGCCAAAAAUCAAGAGUUGCACACUUAACUGAGUCACCCAGGCACCCUUUCUCUUCUUUAAUAAAGGAAUAAUCAUAACUACACUGUAAGAUUAUUGAAAGAAUUAGAGCUUAAAUACCUUUCACAGUGCUUCGCACAAAUGAGGCACUUAGUGAAUGCUACUUGUUGUAUAAAUAUUACCAUUUCUAUUCUUUAAAAAAAAAAGAUUUUAUUUAUUUAUUUGAGAGAGAGAGUGAACAGAGGGUAAAUGAGAGGGAAAAGCAGAUUCCCUACUGAAUAGGGAGCCUGAUAUGGGGCCGAUCCUAGGCCCCUGAGAUCAUGACCUGAAUCAAAGUCAGAUGGUUAACUGACUGAGCCACCCAGGUGCCCCAAUAUUACCAUUUCUAAAAUAAUAAUAGCAACUUUGCCUCCUGAGCACAAAGAAGAUUGAAGGAGUAAGAAAAAAUUUUUCUUUGCUUCUUGCUGGGGUUUCUUUUGCCUUUUGGACAAUGAACUAAAAUAAGAAAAAAAAUAUUUGAGUAUCAGGUGAGGGUGAGUUUAGAUUUCAGUUUCUGUGAGUCACUGUUAAUGCACCUGUCCUGAGUUGGUGCCAUUAGCCUCAUCUUCUCUAGGCCAGAUCGUCUUAGUUCACACACACAUUAUUCUUUUGUAUUUCUGCUCUACUUCUCUCCUUGUUGGGAUUGUGAUGCUGGCCAACCUUUCCAAUUAGCUUGAACAGCCAUUAAAACUCGUCCAUUAAAAUUCACUUCCCUACAGAGCUAAAGGGUAAUUUUCUGAAUAAACCUCUUAGGGUUGUUAUAACAAUCAAAUUAAAGAAAGUGUGAAGAAGCUUUUUGUAGGCUGCUUUGCUGGGAGAGGAGAGAAGUAGAUUGAAACAUGGCAUUUAGGAUCAAAAUUCCUCUUUACACAGAGCCUUCUGACUGCUUCCUUUGCAGUCUGUGCCCUGGUUUUUCUUGUUUACAAGAUAAUAAUUGUGACUACCAUUUAUUAGAUGGCUUCCAUCCCAUUGAUUAAAAUUUUUUAAAAACGAUUUUAUUUAUUUAUUCAUGAGAGACACAGAGAGAGGCAGAGAAACAGGCAGAGGAGAAGCAGACUCCAUGCAGGGAGCCCGAUGCAGGACUCGAUUCCAGGACUCCAGGAUCAUGCCCUGAGCCAAAGGCAGACACUCAACUGCUGAGCCACUCAGGCAUCCCCCCUUGAUUAAAUUUUGAUCAUGGUUCAUGAUUUAUAUAUAUCAUUAGACUCUCAAAAUCAUUCUAAGAAGCAUAAUUCUAUUUUCUUUGAGUUUACAAGUGAAGAAACUAAAGGUUAGAGAGAUUAAGUACGUCCCCUGAAAUCACACAGCUAAUAAGUGAUAUAGUCAGCAUUCCAAACUAAUUCAGUUGGACUCCAAAAGUCAUGCUAAACGAAUAUAUUGUGAAGACUAAGUGAAAUAAUCUAUGUGAAAAGUCAUUCCAAAAUAUAAAAUUAGAUGGUAUUGUAAGCAAUUAUUCUCAUUUAAAAAGUGGCUUUGCUCCUAGUGAAACAGGGAAUUCAGAAUUAGGUCUCCACAGACAGAAGAAAGCCAAUCCAAAAUGAAGGGGCCUAUGUUUUAAGUUAGUUUAGGUAAAGUAACAUAAGGGAGAUAGGACUCCAAUUUGCUCCAAAUGGAUCACUUUGGUUGAAGACAAAAGAUCAUUUUUUUUUAAAGAUUUCAUUUACUUUUUCAUGAGAGACACACAGAGAGAGGCAGAGACACAGGCAGAGGGAGAAACAGGCUCCCUGCGGGGAGCCCGAUGUGGACUCCACCCCAGGACUCCAGGACCCCAGGAUCAUGACCUGACCCAAAGGCAGACGUUCAACCACUGAGCCACCCAGGUGACCCCAGAAGAUCAUUAUUAUCCCACUUAGUGAAAAUGCUGUAGUAGACAUUGUGGGAAAUGAUACUAACC
rnacentral:lncRNA from 1 species